UGCGCAGGCGGCCGGGUGUGUGAGGCGUGAAAGCCUGGAGCUCAACUCCAGAAUUGCACCUCAAACUACACGGCUAGAGCAUUGGAGAGGGUAGCAGAAUUCACGGUGUAGCAGUGAAAUGCGUAGAUAUCGUGAGGAAUACCAGAGGCGAAGGCGGCUACCUGGACAAUUGCUGACGCUCAGGCACGAAAGCGUGGGGAGCAAAAGGGAUUAGAUACCCCUGUAGUCCACGCCCUAAACGGUGCAUACUAGGUCUUGGCGGAUUCGACCCCAUCAGGGCCCAAGCUAACGCGUUAAGUUUGCCGCCUGAGGACUACGGCCGCAAGGCUAAA
rnacentral:rRNA from 1 species